AUUGAACGCUGGCGGCAGGCCUCACACAUGCAAGUCGAGCGAGCGGCGGACGGGUGCGUACUGUAUGGGGACUGCCCGCUAGAGGCGGAUAACUACUGGAAACGGUAGCUAAUACAGCAUACUAUCGGAUAACCCAUAUGGGAUUAGCUAGUAGGUGAGGUAAUGGCUCACCUAGGCGACGAUCCCUAGCUGGUCUGAGAGGAUGAUCAGCCACACGGGGACUGAGAAACGGCCCAGACUCCGACGGAGGCAGCAGUGGGGAAUAUUGUACAAGGGGCGCAAGCCGGAAACAGCCAUGCCGCGGGUAUGAAGAAGGCCCUAGGGUUGUAAAGUACUUUCAGUCGGGAUGCGUUACCGACAGAAGAAGCACCGGCUAACUCCGUGCCAGCAGCCGCGGUAAUUC
rnacentral:rRNA from 1 species